rnacentral:rRNA from 1 species
GCUACCAGCUACACCACCCUGAACACGCCUGCUCUAUGUCUGAUCUCGGAAACUAAGCAGCGUCAGCCCCGGUUAGUACUUGGAUGGGAGACCACCUGGGAAUACUGAGUGCUAUAGGCU